AGAACGAACGCUGGCGGCAGGCUUAACACAUGCAAGUCGAACGGUUGUAGCAAUACAGCAGUGGCGCACGGGUGAGUAACGCGUGGGAACAUACCUUUCAGUUCGGGAUAACAGCGGGAAACUGCUGCUAAUACCGGAUAUUCCCUCCGGGGGAAAGAUUCAUCGCUGAAAGAUUGGCCCGCGUCAGAUUAGCUAGUUGGUGGGGUAAUGGCCUACCAAGGCUCCGAUCUGUAGCUGGUCUGAGAGGACGACCAGCCACACUGGAACUGAGACACGGUCCAGACUCCUACGGGAGGCAGCAGUGGGGAAUAUUGGACAAUGGGCGAAAGCCUGAUCCAGCCAUGCCGCGUGAAUGAUGAAGGCCUUAGGGUUGUAAAGUUCUUUUGCCAGGGAAGAUAAUGACGGUACCUGGAGAAUAAGCACCGGCUAACUUCGCGCCAGCAGCCGC
rnacentral:rRNA from 1 species